AGAGUUUGCUUCUGGCUCAGGACGAACGCUGGCGGCGUGCCUAACACAUGCAAGUCGAACGGGACUCAGCCCUUCGGGACUGAGUUUAGUGGCGAACGGGUGAGUAACGCGUGAGGAACCUGCCUUUCAGUGGGGGACAACAGUUGGAAACGACUGCUAAUACCGCAUAAUACUUUCGAGCGGCAUCGUUUGAAAGUCAAAGAUUUAUUGCUGAAAGAUGGCCUCGCGUCUGAUUAGCUAGUUGGUGGGGUAAUGGCCCACCAAGGCGACGAUCAGUAGCCGGUCUGAGAGGAUGAACGGCCACAUUGGGACUGAGAUACGGCCCAGACUCCUACGGGAGGCAGCAGUGGGGAAUAUUGGGCAAUGGGGGAAACCCUGACCCAGCAACGCCGCGUGAAGGAAGAAGGCCUUCGGGUUGUAAACUUCUUUUACCAGGGACGAAAAAAGUGACGGUACCUGGAGAAAAAGCAACGGCUAACUACGUGCCAGCAGCCGCGGUAAUACGUAGGUUGCAAGCGUUGUCCGGAUUUACUGGGUGUAAAGGGCGUGUAGGCGGAGCUGCAAGUCAGAUGUGAAAUCCCGGGGCUUAACCCCGGAACUGCAUUUGAAACUGUAGCCCUUGAGUAUCGGAGAGGCAAGCGGAAUUCCUAGUGUAGCGGUGAAAUGCGUAGAUAUUAGGAGGAACACCAGUGGCGAAGGCGGCUUGCUGGACGACAACUGACGCUGAGGCGCGAAAGCGUGGGGAGCAAACAGGAUUAGAUACCCUGGUAGCCCACGCUGUAAACGAUGAAUAAAAGGUGGGGGAAGGAUGACCCCUUCCGUGCCCCAGUUACACAAUAAGUUUUCCACCUGGGGAAGUCCAACCGCAAUGUUGAAACUCAAAGGAAUGGACGGGGGCCCGCCCAAACCAGUGGAUUAUGUGGUUUAAUUCGACGCAACGCGAAGACCCUUUCCAGGACUUGACGUCCAACUAAGGAAGUAGAGAUACAUUAGGUGCCCUUCGGGGAAAGUUGAGACAGGUGGUGCAUGGUUGUCGUCAGCUCGUGUCGUGAGAUGUUGGGUUAAGUCCCGCAACGAGCGCAACCCCUAUUGUUAGUUGUUACGAAAGAGCACUCUAGCGAGACUGCCGUUGACAAAACGGAGGAAGGCGGGGACGACGUCAAAUCAUCAUGCCCCUUAUGUCCUGGGCUACACACGUAAUACAAUGGUGGAAAACAGAGGGAAGCAAAGCCGCGAGGCGGAGCAAAACCCUAAAAGCCAUCUCAGUUCGGAUUGCAGGCUGCAACUCGCCUGCAUGAAGCUGGAAUUGCUAGUAAUCGCGGAUCAGAAUGCCGCGGUGAAUACGUUCCCGGGCCUUGUACUCACCGCCCGUCA
rnacentral:rRNA from 1 species